rnacentral:snRNA from 1 species
GGAUGUGAGGGCGAUCUGGCUGCGACAUCUGUCACCCCAUUGAUCGCCAGGGUUGAUUCGGCUGAUCUGGCUGGCUAGGCGGGUGUCCCCUUCCUCCCUCACCGCUCCAUGUGCGUCCCUCCCGAAGCUGCGCUCUCGGUCGAAGAGGACGACCUUCAAAAAAAAAAAAAAAAAGAAUUAAAA